UAUGGCUACUACUCACUGAUGUAAUAGAUACAAAUUCAUAAAAGUGCCAUGUGAAUUAUUUUGGAAACCAAUUCUACCAUAGUGCCUAUUAAAAGUAUUUGGAAUAGACAUUGGUGUGUAAUGUAAAAAAAUGAUUUUCAUUAUUUUCUGUUAAUAUUUGGGACUUUUUAUCAGUCCCAACUUGUCAAAGGAAGCUGCAGCCCAUUCGGCUCCACUCACAAAUAACCCAAAGAAGCUUGGCUGGCUCCCUUUAUUAUGAUAUUAGCGGCUUGGCUUGACCUCCUUUUCAAAUACUUGGUUAAAUCGCUCAUUUCUCACUCUCUCUGCUUUUACAAACCCUAGAAGUACAAAAUUUCCUCAAAAUUAAAGAUCUUCUCUUCUAUGUUCUCUCUGUUCUCACCGAAAUUUUGGAAAGGAGGAGUUCUUAGCAUUCUGUGGAAGCACCAAAUUCGCGAAAGCUUCCCCUUUCUCAUCUCUCGACGAAGCUGUGAACCCGGAGGUUGAUGUCGAUGCUUGGAUCCAAGCAUUCUCUGCUCAUCCUCAGAUCGGACACUCGUCUUAUUCUUCUCACUCCACCUCUGCUCAGUGGAACGGCUUCCGAAUCGGCAGUGAAGAAGGUCUACCUUCUCUACUUUGCUGAGACCAAGUCGAUCGCUUAGAAAGUCACGACUCAAUCUGAUGACUUUGAGCUCUGUAGCCUCACAUGGAGGUUUGUUUGAUAUUGGGGGUCUUGUUUAUUCAUUGGUGAAAAGAUGAGGGGAGCUGUGAUGGUGGCCAUUGCUGCUACAAUUGGUAGCAUUCUACAAGGAUGGGAUAAUGCUACAAUCACAGGCUGAUUUUAGUAAA